rnacentral:lncRNA from 1 species
UUUAUGCUCCUAAUGUUUUGGGGCAUCCCGACAAUUAUAUACCUGCUAAUCCGAUGCCCACCCCGCCUCAUAUUGUGCCGGAAUGGUAUUUCCUACCGAUCUAUGCCAUUCUUCGUAGUAUACCUGACAAAUCGGGAGGUGUAGCCGCAAUAGCACCCGUUUUUAUAUGUCUGUUGGCUUUACCUUUUUUUAAAAGUAUGUAUGUGCGUAGUUCAAGUUUUCGCCCGAUUCACCAAGGAAUCUUUUGGUUGCUUUUGGCGGAUUGCUUACUACUAGGUUGGAUUGGAUGUCAACCUGUGGAGGCACC